rnacentral:misc_RNA from 1 species
GAUGAAGAACGUAGCGAAAUGCGAUAAGUAAUGUGAAUUGCAGAAUUCAGUGAAUCAUCGAAUCUUUGAACGCACAUUGCGCCCGCCAGUAUUCUGGCGGGCAUGCCUGUUCGAGCGUCAUUUCAACCAUCAAGCCCCCGGCUUGUGUUGGGGACCUGCGGCUGCCGCAGGCCCUGAAAAGCAGUGGCGGGCUCGCUGUCACACCGAGCGUAGUAGCAUACAUCUCGCUCUGGGCGUGCUGCGGGUUCCGACCGUUAAACCACCUUCAUAACCCAAGGUUGACCUCGGAUCAGGUAGGAAGACCCGCUGAACUUAAGCAUAUCAAUAAGCGGAGGA